UAGCUAGAGUUCCUUUCGCUACAAAAAAUUACCUCAAUAGUGGCGGAAUUUUACGACGGGAUUCCCGUUGAGAAAAAUGGCGGUGUUAUCGACGGAUUCUCGACGGAAUUUAAUUUUCGCCGUAAAUCCGUCAAGAAAUUUUAAUUUCUUAAAAUAUUACCUUUUUUUUAUUUGUCCGUCGAUAAUCUGUCGACAAUUAUUAAAUUUAAUUCAAAAUUUUGAUGUACGUCGACAAUCCGUCGAGAAAGUUAUUUUUUAAUAAUUAUUUUUAAUAUUUUGAUUUCCCGUCGUAAAUCCAUCGAGAAUGUUUUUAAUAAUGAAUAGUAUCUCCUCCCCCCCAAGUUCAGUUCAUCUACGCCAUUUCCCCCCAAUUCAUUUCAGUUGCCAUACGCCAUCGCCGGAGUCCGCUGCCGCCGUUCGCCACCUGCCGGAGUCGAUCUGCUGUCUCUCCCUCCCUCGACGUUCACCAUCGAUCUUUCCCGUUCGUCGCGCCGUCCGCCGAAGUCCCUUGCUUCUGUCUGUCGCCGCCUCGCCCCCUGCUGGACCUCCUCUCUCUCUCAAAUUUGAAAGGUUUAAUCUUCUUCCACUACAAACACAAGAGAUUUCAAGAAUUCUUUCAACUUCAUUGGCCAUUCUUAUGGAUUCAAACACUGCUCAUUUUCCUAAUCUGAACGAGAGUUGAUUGCAAAUGGGCCUGAAGAGGCUGUUGGACCAGCAGCAAGUGUGAGAGUCGGCCCAAAUGAGGAAGGCCCAACUGAAGAUGGCGCAGCUAUGCGCACGAGAGCUCCACCCACAAGAUUCAAAGACUAUGAGAUGUAUUAGGGUUAUUAGUUGUUAUUGUCCUUCCAAGAAUGAUCCUCUUUCAUGUCUCUUUUCUUUCUGUUAGGAUGGCUGAAGAGUGCGGCAGUAGUAUCAGUCGUUGUCUCCGCUUUUGCUAUUUAGUAUGUUGUUUGUAUGAGGAUUGGUCCAUCUUAUGAAUGAAAAUUAUCCUUUCCUCUGA